CGGUCGGGAGACUUCCUGGGAAGAAAGUCAAGAAUUGGCUGUUAUUAUCAUCUCAACUAAGCCCGCCGCUGGGUUCCCGACAGCGUGUGUG
rnacentral:ncRNA from 1 species